rnacentral:lncRNA from 1 species
UAGUUUUUUCAUAAUAGGGUUUUUAAUAUAGUUUGUUUUUUUUUUUUAAUAGGGUUUUGAUCUGCAGGAUUUCAUUGGGUAGCAUAAGGAUCAAUCUAUCUCUUAGACCUGGCCCAUCGUGUGGUUACGACUGAGUCUGUCUGUCCCCAACCCUGCUGUCUCCCUGCCCCAAGGACGAGGAAAUGACUCAGCUAACCUGGACACAACUUGUUGGCGUAUCCACAAGAAGCAAUCAGCAGUUACGGUCUCCUGAGCAAACCGUUACUCAUCAGCUGUUGACCCUGUGACCAAGAGAAGCAUUGACAAGGCUCCAAAGGAAUUCCCUCUGAAGAAAUCAGUUCAAAAGUAGAAAAGGUCAGUGUCCUAACAUUGGAAGACUACCUUGGAUUUUGCCUGUUAUAUGGCCAAAAUAACUGCCUUGACCUGAUUUUACAAACCAGAUUUGCAUGUCUGCAACAUACUUUACGUGACUUUCUAGGUAAGUGUACUUUUGGGUUGAAAACACUUGUAAGUCUUCAGGGGAAAGUUCAAAUAAACUCCUGAGUGGUGCAUGAAUUGUUUUUCUAGACUGCUGUUGUUGUUUUUAAUAAGAUCCAUCUGCCUCAAAUUUACUUCCGUAUAGAGUAUAGCAAAAGCACGUGCACCACCACUGAAAGUUUCAAACUAUAGCUAAUGAGAGCCACAUAAAAACUUGUGCAUCAGCUCCUGAACUGAAAAUUUCACCUUCAGAGUACAGGAUCAAAAGCGCAAUAGAAAUCAUUGCUCUGAUGUCUCUAUUGAGCAGACAGUAUCAUUAGUACAUUUUUUCUAAGUGCUAUUUCUCUCUAGUGUGCAUUACCAUUAAAACUUCCAGUACUAACGUCUACAUUACUUUCCUUUUGAAAUGAGGGUUCAUUCAGUGCCUUCCCUGGUUGCUUGAACUAUGAAUGAUUAGCUCUGCAUGAGGCACUUUGUAACCCUCCCGGUGGAGGAAGCCAUAUGAAAAUAAAUGUUACCUUCAGGUAUAUUUUGCA